CGUCAGCUCGUGUUGUGAAAUGUUGGGUUAGUCCCGCAACGAGCGCAACCCUUAUCCUUUGUUGCCAGCACGUUAUGGUGGGAACUCAAAGGAGACUGCGGGUGAUAAACCGGAGGAAGGUGGGGAUGACGUCAAGUCAUCAUGGCCCUUACGAGUAGGGCUACACACGUGCUACAAUGGCAGAUACAAAGAGAAGCGACCUCGCGAGAGCAAGCGGAACUCAUAAAGUCUGUCGUAGUCCGGAUUGGAGUCUGCA
rnacentral:rRNA from 1 species